rnacentral:rRNA from 1 species
GAUGAACGCUAGCGGCAGGCUUAAUACAUGCAAGUCGUGGGGCAGCAGGGUUGUAGCAAUACAAUCGCUGGCGACCGGCAAACGGGUGCGUAACACGUACGCAACCUUCCCGUUACUGGGGAAUAGCCCAGGGAAACUUGGAUUAAUACCCCAUAUUAUAUUGGUCAGGCAUCUGACUGAUAUCAAAGCUUCGGCGGUAACGGAUGGGCGUGCGGUUGAUUAGGUAGUUGGCGGGGUAACGGGCCACCAAGCCUACGAUCAAUAGCUGAUGUGAGAGCAUGAUCAGCCACACGGGCACUGAGACACGGGCCCGACUCCUGCGGGAGGCAGCAGUAGGGAAUAUUGGGCAAUGGAGGAAACUCUGACCCAGCCAUGCCGCGUGUGUGAAGAAGGUCUUCGGAUUGUAAAGCACUUUAAGUUGGGAGGAAGGGUAUUCACCUAAUACGUGGGUACUUUGACGUUACCAACAGAAUAAGCACCGGCUAACUCUGUGCCAGCCGCCGCGGUAACAC